AGUGAACGUUGGCGGCGUGGAUUAGGCAUGCAAGUCGAGCGAGAACCGUAGCAAUACGGGGACAGCGGCGAAAGGGACAGUAAUGUGUAGGUACCUACCCCGGGGUCUGGGAUAGCUGCGGGAAACUGCAGGUAAUACCGGAUAAUGUCUUCGGACCAAAGGUGUGAUUCCACCUUGGGAGGGGCCUGCAUCCUAUUAGCUUGUUGGCGGGGUAACGGCCCACCAAGGCAACGAUGGGUAGCGGGUGUGAGAGCACGACCCGCGUCAUUGGGACUGAGAUACUGCCCAGACACCUACGGGUGGCUGCAGUCAGGGAUCGUCGGCAAUGGGCGAACGCCUGACCGAGCGACGCCGCGUGCGGGAUGAAGGCCUUCGGGUUGUAAACCGCUGUCGUAGAGGAGGAAAUGCAGGUGGGUUCUCCCAUCUGUUUGACCUAUUCUAGGAGGAAGUACGGGCUAAGUUCGUGCCAGCCGCCGCCGUAA
rnacentral:rRNA from 1 species